AGGGACAUAACUCAGUGGUAGAGUGCCAUCUUGACAUGGUGGAAGUCGUCAGUUCAAGUCUGAUUGUCCCUA
rnacentral:tRNA from 2 species